UGAGAGGUUGAACGGCCACAUUGGGACUGAGACACGGCCCAGACUCCUACGGGAGGCAGCAGUGGGGAAUAUUGCACAAUGGGGGAAACCCUGAUGCAGCGACGCCGCGUGAGCGAAGAAGUAUUUCGGUAUGUAAAGCUCUAUCAGCAGGGAAGAUAAUGACGGUACCUGACUAAGAAGCACCGGCUAAAUACGUGCCAGCCG
rnacentral:rRNA from 1 species